CUCUGGCAAUUCUAUUCUGUGGCAGGUGAAGGAAUGCACGUCAGCCUUACUGCGUUUUGUGAAGAGGUCUAGUUCUGAAAAAUAAAAGUUAAAACAAUGAAAAUAUUUUAGUCUUCCCGAGCUGACAAUUGUUUAUGUGUAACUAAGUAUCAUUUGAAAUUUUCUUUUCCGUUUCAUAUGUUGAAUAUAGGGAUAGUGCCAGGAAAGCUCUUAAGUUCUGCUACUUGAUUAUGCCUUAAACAGAAAUUCAACUUUAUUUUUUCUCUUGUAGGCCUCAUUUGAGCGAGCAAAAAAAUGGGUGCUAGAACUGAAAUCACAAGGGCUGUAAGACGUCAGUUUGCUCUUUGUGCUGGCUUGCUGCAAGAAAAUGGAUCCUUAUUUACUGGCUAUCAUUUUCAUGGAUGCCCACAAUAGCAAAGACAAAUUUAAUCAUGCUUUGGUAAGCUUUUUUCUUUUCUUUUCUUUGGUAAGGACACUUGAGUAAUGUGGCUUGAUGUUUUGCUAUUUUGUUUAUUAUUCUGCUAAACUGCUUUGUCCUUGGUUGCAUGAUAUCUGAUCCAGCAAAACAAGGAUAUAACUUCAUUCUAUGUGCAUAUUAUCUGCAGGGUUAUGCAUAUAUACUCACGCACCCCGGAAUACCUUCCAUCUUCUAUAUAUGACCACUUCUAUGAUU
rnacentral:lncRNA from 1 species